AACGAACGCUGGCGGCAGGCCUAACACAUGCAAGUCGAGCGAGGACUUCGGUUCUAGCGGCGGACGGGUGAGUAACGCGUGGGAAUGUGCCCUUCUCUACGGAAUAGCCCUGAGAAACUGGGAGUAAUACCGUAUACGCCCUUUUGGGGAAAGAUUUAUCGGAGAAGGAUCAGCCCGCGUUGGAUUAGGUAGUUGGUGGGGUAAUGGCCUACCAAGCCGACGAUCCAUAGCUGGUUUGAGAGGAUGAUCAGCCACACUGGGACUGAGACACGGCCCAGACUCCUACGGGAGGCAGCAGUGGGGAAUCUUAGACAAUGGGGGCAACCCUGAUCUAGCCAUGCCGCGUGAGUGAUGAAGGCCUUAGGGUUGUAAAGCUCUUUCAGCUGGGAAGAUAAUGACGGUACCAGCAGAAGAAGCCCCGGCUAACUCCGUG
rnacentral:rRNA from 1 species